GACGAACGCUGGCGGCGUGCUUAACACAUGCAAGUCGAACGGUGAUGCUCCAGCUUGCUGGAGUGGAUCAGUGGCGAACGGGUGAGUAACACGUGAGCAACCUGCCCCAGACUCUGGAAUAAGCGCUGGAAACGGCGUCUAAUACUGGAUACGAAACUGGCCCGCAUGGGCAUGGUUUGGAAAGUUUUUCGGUUUGGGAUGGGCUCGCGGCCUAUCAGCUUGUUGGUGAGGUAAUGGCUGACCAAGGCGACGACGGGUAGCCGGCCUGAGAGGGCGACCGGCCACACUGGGACUGAGACACGGCGCAGACUCCUACGGGAGGCAGCAGUGGGGAAUAUUGCACAAUGGGCGAAAGCCUGAUGCAGCGACGCCGCGUGAGGGAUGACGGCCUUCGGGUUGUAAACCUCUUUCAGCAGGGAAGAAGCGAAAGUGACGGUACCUGCAGAAGAAGCACCGGCUAACUACGUG
rnacentral:rRNA from 1 species